rnacentral:pre_miRNA from 7 species
UUUCGGGGUUCCUGGGUGUCACACAGAUCUCACUGGGGACUCCAAAUGAAAGAAUCUAGUGGGGAAACCCCCACUCAAUUCCCGAUUCGGCAUGCUCCCAAGGAUCACGAACAAACAG